rnacentral:rRNA from 1 species
UUCGUAGGGGGCAAGCGUUGUCCGGAUUUAUUGGGCGUAAAGAGCGUGUAGGCGGCCUGACAGGUCUGCUGUGAAAACUCGAGGCUCAACCUCGAGAUGUCGGCGGAAACCGUCUGGCUAGAGUCCGGAAGAGGAGAGUGGAAUUCCUGGUGUAGCGGUGAAAUGCGCAGAUAUCAGGAAGAACACCUAUGGCGAAGGCAGCUCUCUGGGACGGUACUGACGCUGAGACGCGAAAGCGUGGGGAGCGAACAGG